CCUACGGGUGGCAGCAGUGGGGAAUAUUGGGCAAUGGGCGCAAGCCUGACCCAGCAACGCCGCGUGAGUGAAGAAGGAUUUCGGUAUGUAAAGCUCUAUUAGUAGGGAAGAAAAUGACAGUACCUGACCAAGAAGCCCCGGCUAACUCCGUUCCAGCAGCCGCGGUAAUACGUAGGGGGCAAGCGUUAUCCGGAUUUACUGGGUGUAAAGGGAGCGUAGACGGUUAGGUAAGACUGGUGUGAAAGCCCGGGGCCCAACCCCAGGACUGCUUUGGAAACUGUGUAACUGGAGUACAGGAGGGGCAGGCGGAAUUCCUGGUGUAGCGGUGAAAUGCGUAGAUAUCAGGAGGAACACCGGCGGCGAAGGCGGCCUGCUGGACUGAAACUGACGUUGAGGCUCGAAAGCGUGGGGAGCAAACAGGAUUAGAUACCCUAGUAGUC
rnacentral:rRNA from 1 species